UAUGGGUUAAAAUUUUGUUUCGCAGACGUAUGCUUGGGUCAAAGAGCAUCGAGGAAUGGUCUAUAUGUUGCAAUUUUUUUUUUUUGCAGUUAUUUUAUGUUCUUCAUUAGACAAUGAUUGUGUUUUUUUUUUUUUCACUUUUUUAAGUUUUCACGUUAUAUUGUUAUAUUCUUGUGUUAAUUGUUUUUUUUUUCCUUAUUUCUCGUAGGUAAUUUUCAGGAGUAAAAGACGGUGGUAUUCUUUAUGAUGAUGUUUUUUUUUCAACAGAGUGUUAUUAGAGUUUAUGAUUUGAUAGAAUAUUCUUAUUAUGUUUUGUAGUUGCAGUUUAGUUAAACAAAUUCUUUUUUAUUGGAAAAUCAAUAAUGAUUGUUGAAGUUGCAGUAACAUUUCCAAUUAUUAUCAAAUUUGACCAUGAAAUUUGAUGGAAUGAUAAAUUUAACUUGUGUCAGAAGUCAAAGAUGUACCAAUACAAUAUGGAUUGCACAAAUCAUUAAAAAGUG
rnacentral:lncRNA from 1 species